GGGGGUACAGCUCAAAUGGUAGAGCGCAUAGCUUAGCAUGUAUGAGGUCCUGGGUUCAAUCCCCAGUACCUCCU
rnacentral:tRNA from 1 species